rnacentral:rRNA from 1 species
UUCGCAAUGCCCGAAAGGGUGACGAAGCGACGCCGCGUGUGGGAAGAAGGCCUUCGGGUUGUAAACCACUGUCGGGAGUUAAGAAAUACAAGGAUAUUAAUAGUGUCUUUGUUUGACUAAGGCUCCGGAGGAAGCCACGGCUAACUCUGUGCCAGCAGCCGCGGUAAUACAGAGGCGGCAAGCGUUGUUCGGAAUUAUUGGGCGUAAAGAGCACGUAGGCGGCUAUGUAAGUCGGUUGUGAAAGCCUUCCGCUCAACGGAAGAACAGCAUCCGAUACUACAUGGCUUGAGUGCAGGAGGGGAGAGUGGAACUUCUGGUGGAGCGGUGAAAUGCGUAGAUAUCAGAAGGAACGCCGGCGGCGAAAGCGGCUCUCUGGCCCAUAACUGACGCUGAGUGUGCGAAAGCUAGGGGAGCAAACGGGAUUAGAUACCCCGGUAGUCCUAGCCGUAAAC